UACGAAGGGGGCUAGCGUUGCUCGGAAUUACUGGGCGUAAAGGGCGCGUAGGCGGAUGUUUAAGUCGGGGGUGAAAGCCCAGGGCUCAACCCUGGAAUUGCCUUUGAUACUGGCUAUCUUGAGUUCGGGAGAGGUGAGUGGAACUCCGAGUGUAGAGGUGAAAUUCGUAGAUAUUCGGAGGAACACCAGUGGCGAAGGCGACUCACUGGCCCGAUACUGACGCUGAGGCGCGAAAGCGUGGGGAGCAAACAGG
rnacentral:rRNA from 1 species